rnacentral:rRNA from 1 species
GACGUAGGGGGCGAGCGUUGUCCGGAUUUAUUGGGCGUAAAGCGUGCGUAGGCGGCUGCGCAAGUCGGGUGUGAAACCCCGGGGCUCAACCCCGGAACUGCAUCCGAUACUGCGUGGCUAGAGGUAGGUAGGGGAGAUCGGAAUUCCUGGUGUAGCGGUGAAAUGCGCAGAUAUCAGGAGGAACACCGGUGGCGAAGGCAGUGUUCUGGGCCAGUACUGACGCUGAGGAGCGAAAGCGUGGGGAGCAAACAGG